UUGAGGUGCAGCCUCAGCAGUGUGGGUACAGGUGGUGAUCCCUGCUGGCUCUUCAGCUCUGGCAUAAGCUCAGUUUUGAAGAAGAACCACUCUGAGCCUUUCUCAGACACCUGGAGAAGAGCUGCUGUGAGUCGCCUGCAGAGCUGGGGGUGGCACAGUGUCAUCACCACUUACGUAUUCCAAUAUGGCAUUUCUUAAAAUGGGCAAACUAACCUCUGUGUUUGAUUUUUCUCUUUGAAGACACUGAGCUGAACUGUAUCCUCAGUUAACUUAGCAACACCUACACAGAAGACUCAAAGAAGACUAGACCUCUGUGUUUUCCCUCCAGAUGUAACUCCACUCAUUGGGGUGCCAGUGACAUACGGAGAUACCCCACUAGAUGGCGGGACAGGAGCCGGUGGAUGGCAAGCCAGGCUCCACUUGUCUUGGUAGGAGGUUUUUCCAUUGGUGUUGGUGCCAUGCUGUAUCACCUGGAAUGCCCUAGGACCAGCACAAGAAAAACUUGAUCUUUGGCCUGUAACUGAUACAACCUCUCUGGGCUCCUGGCCAGUUGGAUGCUGCACAUAAAUACCAUCCUCUUUAGAUAAUUAGCAUCCCCAUGCGAUGAUCUUGGCUCUGUUGAGAUUUUAACCAUUAGAAGGGCUAAUCCUGCCAUGCUAAACUCACUCAGCUGCCAUUUUUCAAACUGGCAUUUGCUUCAUGAAUGUUUUGAAGCCUGAAAUUGAGUUCUGCCAUUUUAAUGCAUCACUGCAUGCUUUUUAGUUCAUUGUUAUGCGGUGUAAGCUCUCAGUCUUGUCAAUAGAGAAAUAGUCAUCAGAGCACGGGGCAUGUUAAUGGUGUUAUUCCUAAAAUUCUGGCACUAUAUUUGGCAGCAGGUAAUAAAUAAUGAACACAGUUACAACUAUAAAGCAAACCCUGUUGCAGAUGUUCCAGAAAAUGGCAGGAAUGGCAUUAUAAGGAAAUAGGUAGAUCAACCUUUUGGUCUCCCAGUUGUGCAAAGCAUCACUUUAAAAUACUGUAGAGGAAAGUAGGCAACAGGACUGGAAGAAUUUUGGAAAACAGUUUCCUAAAUGGCAAUCCAUUAACUUGAGUUCUUAACACUUGUCAGCUGCAAAAAUAAACCUGCUAUUAUUUUCAAAGAUCCCAA